rnacentral:rRNA from 1 species
AANNUCGGCUAACUCCGUGCCAGCMGCCGCGGUAAUACGGGGGAUGCAAGCGUUAUCCGGAAUCAUUGGGCGUAAAGCGCCUGUAGGUUGUUUAAUAAGUCCGUUGUUAAAGACUAGGGCUUAACCCUAGGAAAGCGAUGGAAACUGAUAGACUUGAGUAUGGCAGGGGUAGAGGGAAUUUCUAGUGUAGCGGUGAAAUGCGUAGAUAUUAGAAAGAACACCGGUGGCGAAAGCGCUCUACUGGACCAUUACUGACACUGAGAGGCGAAAGCUAGGGGAGCGAAAGGGAUUAGAUACCCCUGUAGUCCUAGCCGUAAACGAUGGAUACUAGAUGUUGUGCAAUUUGGACAGUAUCGUAGCUAACGCGUUAAGUAUCCCGCCUGGGGAGUACGCUCGCAAGGGUGAAACUCAAAGGAAUUGACGGGGGCCCGCACAAGCGGUGGAGCAUGUGGUUUAAUUCGAUGCAACGCGAAGAACCUUACCAGGGCUUGACAUACUACAGAUCUUUUUGAGAAAGAAGAGUGCCUUCGGGAAUGUAGAUACAGGUGGUGCAUGGCUGUCGUCAGCUCGUGUCGUGAGAUGUUGGGUUAAGUCCCGCAACGAGCGCAACCCUCGUUUUUAGUUGCCAAUUUAUUGGGAUCUCUAGAAAGACUGCCGGUGACAAACCGGAGGAAGGUGAGGAUGACGUCAAGUCAGGCAUGCCCCUUAUGUCCUGGGCUACACACGUGCUACAAUGGUUAAGACAAAGAGUCGCGAGCUCGCAAGAGUCAGCUAAUCUCAGAAACUUAACCCAAGUYCWGAUUGUAGNCUGCAACUCCCCCC